GGCUGUGGAGGGGGGGGGUGGAGGAGCCGGCCGCCCCUCCGCCGCCGCCGCCGCCGGUGGCUUCGCGAGCUUCCCGCGUCCGCGCGAUGUUUGGCCGGCGCUCCGGCGGCGAUGGGGCUCGGCGCGCGGGGCUGCCAAGCGGGGCCGCCGGCAGCAGCAGCAGCAGCAGCAGCAGAUCCGUCCCCGGCCCCCGCAGCAGCAACGGCCCGCUCCUCUCCAGCCCCCGCCGGGCGCCCGGCUCGCCUUGAGAGCGCCGGGCUGCGCAGGCGGCGGCGGCUCCAGCGGGCGUAGGCGGCCGCUGCCCUUGCGCGCCUCCCCGGAGGAGGCGGCGGCGGCGGAGGAGGAGGACCGGGAGCCGGGAGGAGAGGCCAGCGGCCCGAGGGCGGCCCGCUGCGGGCUCCGGGCUCCCUCCUCCUCCUCGGCCGCCGUUGCCGCGCCUGGAGUGGCCCGGGGCCCGGCCAUGUCCGCCUUCUGCUUGGCGGGACCCCUUUCAGCACCUGCCGAGCUGGACAGCGCCUGCCGCAUGGAGCGCCCGGGAAGCGCCGCGCCGGCCCCGCCGCCCACGACGGCCGGGCAAGAGACAGGCGGGCCGGCUGCGCUUCUUCCGGCGGCGGCGGCGGCGGCGGCGGCGGCCUCCCCGUCGGUGGGCGGCGAGCUGGAGCUGGCGCUGGAGGAGGAGCUGGCCCUGCUGGCCUCGGCCGGGGAAGGGCCCAGGGAGGCCGAGGCGCAGGACCCGGCGGCGUUGCCGCCAGCCGAGCCGGAGCUGCUGUCGCUGAUGAGGCAGAAGGAGAAGGACCUGGUGCUGGCCGCCCGGCUGGGCAAAGCCUUGCUGGAGCGCAAUCAGGACCUGAGCCGCCAGUACGAGCGCAUGUACAAGGAGCUGACCGAGAAGCUGGAGCACCUGGAGCAAGAGAAACAUGAGCUGCGGCGACGCUUCGAGAACAAGGAAGGCGAGUGGGAAGGCCGCGUCUCGGAGCUGGAGAGCGACGUCAAGCAGCUGCAGGACGAGCUGGAGAAGCAGCAGGUCCACCUCCGGGAAGCUGACCGGGAGAAGACGCGGGCGGUCCAGGAACUAUCUGAACAGAACCAAAGACUCUUGGAUCAGCUCAGCAAGGCGUCGGAAGCAGAGCGAAAGCUCUCCACACAGGUUCAUGUCCUCCAAGAGGACUUCAGGGAGAAGAGGUCAUCCACCAACCAGCACAUAGUACGGCUUGAGAGCCUUCAAGCAGAGCAAAUCUUGGAAAUUAAGAUGCUGAGGGAUCGGAAGCAGGACCUGGAGCGCCGUCUCAGCGCCAUGGUGGAGGAGAACAAUCUGCUCCAGGGGACGGUGGAGGAACUUCAAGAUCGUGUCAUAAUUUUGGAACGGCAAAGCCAUGAAAAAGACACACAGUUGCACCAGAGCCAGAUGGAGCUUCAAGAGGUGAAACUGUCAUAUCGGCAGCUGCAGGUCAAGAUGGAGGAGCUGAAUGAGGAACGAAGCCUCCAAGACUUCAACUCCACCAGGAUGUCUUUGCUGUCAGAGAUCGAACAGAGCAUGGAAGCAGAGGAGCUGGAACAAGAACGAGAACAGUUGAGGCUGCAGCUUUGGGAGGCCUAUUGCCAAGUCCGCUACUUGUGCACCCACCUCCGAGGGAACGACAGUGCGGAUUCUGCUGUCUCCACUGACUCUUCCAUGGAUGAGUCUUCCGAAACCUCGUCAGCCAAAGACGUGCCGGCCGGCAGCCUGCGGGCUGCGCUCAGCGAACUGAAGAGGCUGAUCCAAAGCGUGAUUGACGGCACGGAUUGCCUGGGUUCUCGGCGAAGUGACGACGAUGCUUUGGAAGAACAAAUCAAGCAAACGAGUGAAGAUUCGAGAGCCCUGAGGGAGUUAAUGGAAGGCGAGCGGGGGAAACUGAGGCAGAGUCUGGAAGAGCUACAGCAGCUUCACAGCCAGGUGACUCUGUUGAGCGUAGAAAUGACGUCGCUGAAAGAGGAAAGAGACCGACUCCGGGGAUCGGCAGAAGAUAAGGAGAUGAGUGAGCAGCUCUUGAAGGCUAUCAGAGAUCGAGAUGAAGCAAUCUCCAAGAAGAACGCUGUCGAGAUGGAGCUGGCCAAAUGCAGAAUGGAUAUGAUGUCCUUGAACAGCCAGCUGUUGGAUGCCAUUCAACAGAAGCUUAACCUUUCGCAGCAGCUGGAAGCCUGGCAGUUUGCUUCUUCAGGCCUUUUCACUAUUUGGCUUCUCUGGUUUCUGAUCUAGUGGCCUUUAUCACUUCCCGUAACAACAGCUUUAGUCGUACACCCCUCCUGCCUUUAAGGAUGACAUGCAGAGGCUCAUCGACCAGCAGCUGAUGGACAGACAUCCUAAGGAAUGGAGCCAGAUAAUGAUGUGCAACUUCACCAGCAGCAGCAGCCACGGAGCCAAGCGUCGCGCCC